GAAAGUUAGAGGUUCGAAGGCGAUCAGAUACCGCCCUAGUUCUAACUGUAAACGAUGCCAGCUAGCGAUCCGCCGGCGUUUCAUUAACGACCCGGCGGGCAGCUUCCGGGAAACCGAAGCUUUUCGGU
rnacentral:rRNA from 14 species